rnacentral:rRNA from 1 species
AGGACGAACGCUGGCGGCGUGCCUAACACAUGCAAGUCGAACGCGCUCCAUUCGGUAGCAAUACUGAUGAAGAGCGAGUGGCGAACGGGUGAGUAGCACGUGAGCAACCUGCCCCGAAGACCGGGACAACACCGGGAAACCGGUGCUAAUACCGGAUAUCCCUAUCGGACCGCAUGAUCUGAUAAGGAAAUGGAUUCCGCUUCGGGAGGGGCUCGCGGCCUAUCAGCUAGUUGGUGAGGUAACGGCCCACCAAGGCAUCGACGGGUAGCUGGUCUGAGAGGACGAUCAGCCACACUGGGACUGAGACACGGCCCAGACUCCUACGGGAGGCAGCAGUGGGGAAUCUUGCGCAAUGGGCGAAAGCCUGACGCAGCAACGCCGCGUGGAGGACGAAGGCUUUCUGAGUUGUAAACUCCUUUCAGCAGGGACGAUAGUGACGGUACCUGCAGAAGAGCACCGGCAACUACGUGCCAGCAGCCGUA